GUUUGAAAACAUUUAUUUAUUUGAAAAAGGAGUGGUAAAAUUAUAUUUAACAAUUAUUCGCCGAAGGCGAGGUGAUUAUCAGGGAAUAUUUGCUGAGGUGAAUAUUCCCAGAUAAUCACAGAGCCUGAGGCGAAUAAUUGUUUUAGUAUUUUUGCACAAGUUUUUUUGUAUUUUUCUGGUCUGAAUUCAUUUUAAUUUCGCUUAUUUCUUUAUUACUAACUUCAACAAAACGGCUAGCUGCCAUUUUGAAAAUUUCGAUUUUGUUAUAAUAUAACAGAUUAAUACGUCAAAUUUGACCAAUCACCUUGUAGCAUUUGUUAUGUUCACUUGUGCAAAAAUACUAAUAUCAAAUAUUUACCUGAAAUAAUAGCAGUGUUUUAAUAGGAAUAAAUUUAUAUGAAAAUCUCAACUAAAAAUGUCUUGCUCAUGUUCUACUUUAAAUUUCAACUUGAGAUUUUUUGAUCAUCUAUACAUGAUUAUCACAAGUUGCAUGGUAUCUUUGUUCUUGCCAGGAACCAGCUACAACAAACUUCUCAGGAUACAAAGUGUCCUCCACAAUCCUUGUCUUAAUUCUCAGGAUACAAUGUGUCUUCUCCACAAUCCUUGUUCUUCAGAAUCCUUGUCUCCAUCAUUCUCCCAAUCAGAGCUUGAAUCAUUCAUGUAUUUAGCAUCACCAGUAGCCUGUUACACACCCAAAAAUUUGGUCAACUGCUGAAUUUCAUCAAUCUUGUCCAUGUCUGCAACUCCACCUUCUGCACCAAUACUUUCAACAUCACCAGGCAUCUCUUCACCAUGAAUUUUAACCAAACACAUAGGAUUUAAUGGCUGUUUAAUGCAAUUAUUGCAUAACAAUGGUUCAUCUAAAUUCACCAGUGGUAGGUCAUUCGGUAUAUCCUCUAAAAUAUCCAGCUUGGGUGGUCAGAUUGUUACAGAAGUUUGUGAUGGAAUAAUGUUAAACUCCCACAACAGAACACAACAUAAGUACUACAGGUAAAAAAAGAUUUGAUGCAUUUAUACAGGGACGUUGGAACAAUAAAAAGGCAAGGGCACCUUUAUAGACCUACAAUUAUGUGUUGACUUGCCAAUGAAAACCUGAUUGUGCAUGUUCCAUUGACGAUAGCUGUUCUGUGUUCUGGAAAUAAAGUCUACUCAAGGAACUAUAACUGCACAAACACACUUAAUCAGGUCACAUUCAAGUUCACACCUCAUGACUUUGCCCAAAACUGGAGAUAAGAUUUAGCAGGCAGAAUUUCUAUAACACAAAGUGCUCUUCUGCCCCCCUUGCCCCUCCUCCCUGCUUUUAUAUUAAAAUAGAUUUGACUCAUUUGACAUAAACUCAUAAAGUCAAAUACUUGUAGUCUUGUAUGAUUUCCGAGUAUAAAUGGCCCAUUUUCCGACCAAUUAAAUCAUAAAAUAAUCGUACCUUAAGGUCACAACUAGAAUAGAUUUCUAUCAAUGAAGGAUAAUCGCAUUCGGCGAACAUAUAAUAAGUCAACUUUUACGCCAAAGCCCAAAUGUUGUCGUUAUCCAUAAAACUAGAAGUUCGACAUCCCUUCACGAAGCAGCUCCAGUCGCUCUUUCGACACACAAUCUACAUAAAGAUUGUCACGUCCAUCUAAAUCAGUAGCUUUGUUGCCACGAACAGUACGAAAAUUCGCCAUGAUUUACAAUUUUCAAUUUGUACUUUUGAAUAUCGCUCCUUGUAAAUUGAGUAGUAAACACAACGAGAG
rnacentral:lncRNA from 1 species